rnacentral:rRNA from 1 species
AUUGAACGCUGGCGGCAGGCCUAACACAUGCAAGUCGAACGAGUGGCGGACGGGUGAGUAAUGUCUGGGAAUCUGCCCGAUGGAGGGGGAUAACUACUGGAAACGGUAGCUAAUACCGCAUACUAUCGGAUGUGCCCAGAUGGGAUUAGCUAGUAGGUGGGGUAAAGGCUCACCUAGGCGACGAUCCCUAGCUGGUCUGAGAGGAUGAACAGCAACACUGGAACUGAGACACGGCCCAGACUCCUACGGGAGGCAGCAGUGGGGAAUAUUGCACAAUGGGCGCAAGCCUGAUGCAGCCAUGCCGCGUGUAUGAAGAAGGCCUUCGGGUUGUAAAGUACUUUCAGCGGGGAGGCGUUACCCGCAGAAGAAGCACCGGCUAACUCCGUGCCAGCAGCCGCGGUAAUUC